ACAUGGGCAGAUAUGGUCCUUUUAUAGUAGCAAAUUGCUUUGCCAUUGAGAUUGAGAUUGAAUAUUUGUGCAGUGUGACUGAACAUUGAGAUUGUUUUCUGUUUCUUUCGAUGAUUUGUGUGGUUCAGUUUCUGAAGUAAACUGGAGAUGUUCGAAAUUUGAUGGUUGCUGUCCAUAUAUCUCCACUUAUGAACAUAUCUGUCCAAAUUUGAUGGUUUCUGAAGUAAACUGUAUAUAUAUCUCCACUUAUGAACAUAUCUGUCCAAAUUUGAUGGUUUCUGAACAUGUGCCUUAACACCUUUUCUGUCAUUUGGUGUCCAUGGAUUGAAAUGUUGGCUGUUAUAUAUUGAUUGUAGUAUAUUUGUGCAUGUUAAUUCAGUGUUUGUAUUGAUUUGAUGCCAAUGUUCAGAAACAAUAUUUUGAUGUUGCUGUUGUUAUUCUUGUUGUGGUUACCUGAAAUGUUGAUACUCUACUUUUUUGAAGCGCUUGUUUCCUAUUUAUGUCCAGUCCUGUUUAUGGUAACUUGUUGUUUAAUUUACAAUGCUGCUUUUCAGAGAAGUGAGAUGGCUAGCUUGGAAGGUUUCAAGUUCUUCGAGAUCGUAAUUGAGAAAUCUUGCAGUAGGCAGAGGCUGCCUGACAAGUUUGCAAAGAUGCUCGCCGGCCGUGAGCCUGCCGGCAGCGGGCUUCGCAGGCUGUGGGACGUGUUGGUGGUGUUCGAUGGUGAAGGCCACAUGUACCCAGGGCCCGGCUGGGAGUAGUUCGCCCGCGCCCAUGAGCUACAGCUCGGGCACUUCCUUGUCUUCCGCUACGACGGCGACGCCAUGUGCACCGUGAAGAUGUUUGACAACACCAUGUGCCGCAUGUACUACCAGCACGACGACGAUGCCAGCAAUGGGAGCAGCAGCGAGGAUGACGACGAGCAGAGCGGGGAUGACGAGGAGUAGAGCGGGGAUGCCGAGGAGCAGCCUAUUCUGGCUAACGACGACCCUGCUAUGGUGGUGGCGGAUGACGACCUUGCUAUGGUGGUGGCUGACGAGGACCCUGCUAUGGUGGUGGCGGACGACGACCCUGCUAUGGUGGUGGCUGACGACGACCUCGCGAUUGUGGUGCCUAAUGAUGACCUCGCAAUGGUGGUGCCUGACAAUGACCUCGUGAUGGUGGUGGCGCCUGCAAUCCCACAGCUUGGCGACAGGACCAUGCCAAUUGUGGUAGAGGAGUACAUCCGCGUUGGGAUUCACCACUCUGAGCGCAUCAGGUUGAUGAAGGAGAAGAAGGAGGAGUGAAGAUGUUAAGAAAUGAAGUGGCAAUGUUAAGCAUGUUAGGUUUAAGCUUCUUAGUGUAAUCUGAACAUGUCAAUGUUAAGUAUGUCAGGUUUAAUUUUGUGCAUGCUCAUGGAUGCUGUAUGACAGUGCCAUCUAAACAUGUCAAUUUCUUAAUUAUGAAUAUUCAGUUUGGUAA